GCUGAAGUCAGGGUAGGAAUUGUCAAAUUGGAUAAUUAGGAUUUUCAGGGUGGCUUCAGGCAUGGCUGGAUCCAGGAGCUGGAAUGGCUGUCAGUUUCUGCUCCCUGUCUGUGUCUCUUCCCCGGUCUGAGCCCCACCUUUUCUGCACCCCUCUGCUGCAGGGUGGGGAAUCACUGGAGGAAGCCCACUUUCUCUGUAGGGAGGGAAAGAGGGUCUCUGCUAGCCCCGGGUCCCCAUCUUUACAGAGCGGAAUCAAAUGGGAAAAGAGACGCCCUCUCUCUCCUGGCCCCCAUGAGCCACACCCCCCCAAGGCUUCCGACUGGCCUUGUCAGAGCCAGAUGACCACUGCUCGGGGGAGUUUUUACAAAGAGAGUGAGGGACCCCUAACUGGCCAGGUUUGGUCCACACCCCCUCUUUUGGGUGAUUGACAGGCUUGUGCCACACCCCUCUAUCUUCUGUGAUUGACAGGCUUGGGCCACACCCCUUUCCUCAUUGAUUGACAGUCAUGGAGAACGGCACAACCCAGAGGGGGUGACCCCAAGGGUGAGGGGCAUUGGGGGCACAGUUUCAAGGGACGCAGCGGAGAGCUCAGAGCCAGCGGUGACCUGGACCCUGGUGGGCCACAGGGAGGCGGUGAGGCCGACGCCCACCCUGCCCCUGCCGCCCUCUGCCCAUUCUCCCAUCACUCAUUCACUCCACAUUCUCAGAGCUGCAUUCAUUCAUUCACUCAUUUACUCAUGUGCUCCACACUUGUCAAGAACCAGUGGGCAUCAUGUAUUCACCCUUUCAUUUAUUCGCUCCACGUUUAGGGAGAAAACCCUGCACAUCAUUCAUUCGUGCAUGCAUUCACCCAUUCGUGUAUCAAGCCAGGCCUGUGUGCUGCUCCUUCAUUCAUUCCCUCCACAUUUGCAGAAAUGAAUCUCUGGGUGUCAUUCAUUCAUUCCCUCACAUUUGCAGGAGUGAAUCUCUGGGUGUCAUU